rnacentral:rRNA from 1 species
UACAGAGGUCUCAAGCGUUGUUCGGAUUCAUUGGGCGUAAAGGGUGCGUAGGCGGCGGCGUAAGUCGGGUGUGAAAUCCCAGGGCUCAACCCUGGAACUGCACUCGAUACUGCGUCGCUGGAGGACUGGAGAGGAGACUGGAAUUCACGGUGUAGCAGUGAAAUGCGUAGAUAUCGUGAGGAAGGCCAGUGGCGAAGGCGAGUCUCUGGACAGUUCCUGACGCUGAGGCACGAAGGCCAGGGGAGCAAACGGG